UGCAUCGACCAGGAAUCGAACCUGAGCCGCCCGCGUGGUAGGCGAGCAUUCAACGAUGAAUCACCGAUGC